UACGUAGGUGGCAAGCGUUGUCCGGAUUUAUUGGGCGUAAAGCGCGCGCAGGCGGUCCGCUUAGUCCGAGGUGAAAUCUCCCGGCUCAACUGGGAGGGGUCUUCGGAUACUGGCGGACUUGAGGAGAGCAGAGGUGAGUGGAAUUCUCGGUGUAGUGGUGAAAUGCGUAGAUAUCGAGAGGAACACCAGUGGCGAAGGCGGCUCACUGGGCUCCACCUGACGCUGAGGCGCGAAAGCGUGGGGAGCGAAC
rnacentral:rRNA from 1 species